rnacentral:misc_RNA from 1 species
AACAUCGCGCACCUGCGGGAACCUGCGGAAGGAUCAUUAAUGAUUGGUGGCUGUUGCUGACUAGUGUUUCUAGUAUGUGCACGCCACACCUUCAGUCCCACUUACACCUGUGCACCUUCUGUAAUAGAUCUAUGUGGAUACGGAGAUGUGAAAGUUUGCGCUCUCCUACUCUGUUGAAGCAGUCUACUACGUUUUUUUACACACACACACAAUAGUCAUUGAAUGUAUUUUUUAUUCUUA